GCAGGUGAGGUUUGCUAGCCACAAAGCUCUUCAACAGAAGUGAAAAACCCAUGUAAAUGUUGAUUCUCUCUCUCCCCAGAGCUCCCUAGGGCAAAGGCUGGAGAGACAGCAAAGGCUUUAACAGCAUUUAACCUGGCAACUGCGCAGCCAUAGGUGGUGUGAUUUCUUAUGACAAGACAUUAAAACUAUCAUUUGGGCUAAGGAUUGUUGAUCUGAAUACCGUCCUGCUUAAAUGAAGUGAAUGAUAGUAGGAGGCUGUGUUUGGUAAGAUGUCCAUCUUAGUCUAGAAGCUCCCCUGAAACCUGUUCAGCAUCAUAGCAAGACGCAAACCUCCACCAAUAGACGAGCGGUGGCUGUGCUUGAGGGGCAUUGGCCAGGAAUUGAACCUGGGUCUCCUGCACGGAAGACCUAUUGAGAGUCCUCCCACGAAGCAGAAAGAAUCCUUCCGUCCUUCAAAGUCACACUGAUGGGUCAUUCUGGGCAUGCCCAGGGAAUCCUGACCACAUUUUUAGCCAUGACUUGCUGACUUUCAUGCCAAGGAGAGGAGUUACUGUUAAUGAUGUCUGUUAGGCUCUUCCUACAUGAAUGAACCACUGAGAAAGGCUUUGGAAUUUCAGAAUACUGUUAUCAUGAUUGACAGCAUCAUCAUCAUCAUCAUCAUCAUCAUCAUCGCCAUCAUUAUCUGCAGCUAGGGAAACCGAGGCACAGAGGGGUGAAGUGACUUAAGCAAAAUCACAUGAGCCAGAGAGUGGCAGAUCUGAGAUUGUGAACGCAGGAUGUCCGUUCGGCCUGUACCUCUUAACGUAAACCGCGCCGCCUCUCCUCAGCCAUCAAGACCAUCUUCCAAUCAUCUCUUUCAGUCCUGAACAGCCUCACUGCCUCGCACUGCUCCCGUCUCUGUAAUCGCACACCGGAGUUUGGGCCGCUCCGUGGAGGCUCUCCUAUUACUUGGUGUAUCUAUGAUUCAUCUCCAGGCUAGACUGUCAAAUACUUAAGGGCACUGUUAUGGAUUGAAUUUUAUCCCCCCCAAAUAUGUGUUGAAAUCCUCACAGAUGAAAUAAAUGAGUAACUGAGUAAACAUAGGCAUCCGGGAGAAAAUAGGCCACAUGGGGUAUGAUUGGACCUAGUAAUAAUAGUCAUUAAUAUUGAUUGUUCGUUUGCUAUGUUCCAGGCAGUGUUGUGAGAAUCUUUUCAGCAUUGUCUAUUAAUCAUCACCAUAACUCUUGAGGCAGAUUCUGCUAUUAUCCCCAUUGUAUGUUUAGGGGAAAGUUUCAGACUUAGAUUAAUUUACUCAAGUUCACAGAGUUAGUAAUCUGCAGAGCUAGGAUUCUAACUCAGCUCUGCCUGAUACCAAAGCCCAUGAUCUUAAACUUCACAAUCUUUUGCUGUUGUUCAAGCCCUGCCCCCGAUAGUCUAACCUUGCAUACUUUUCAUGGGAACAUAAUGGAGGAUUUUCAAGCCAUGUUUUUAAAGUCACGCCAUCUUUGCUGUUGUUGUUGUUAGCUGCCAACAAGUCAGCCCCCGACUCAUGGUGACCCCAUGCACAACGGGAUCAUACUGUUGUGAUCCUUGGGGUUUUCACUGGCUAAUUUUGGAAGUAAAUCACUAGGCCUUUCUUCCUAGUCUGAGUCUGGAAACUCUGCUGAAAUCUGUUCAGCAUCAUAGUAACAUGCAAGCCUCCACUGACAGAUGAGUGAUGGAUCUCCCCUAAAACAAUGCUGUGUAUGAUAGUCUUGAAAAUCUCUAUUUUUCUUUUUUAUGUGUUAUGUAAUCAUCAUAUUAUUACUACUACUGGCUAAUUCACAUUGAGAGCUAGUUAUGUACAGUUCUGUAUACUUUUAGUAUUUUAGUGUAUUUCAUCCUGUCAGCAACUGCACAAGGAAGGUACUUUUAUUAAACUUAUGUUACAGAAGAGGAAAUUGAGGCCCAAAGAGGCAAAUUAAAUUGCCCGAGAUUCUGCCACUAGCAAGGGACAGAGCUGGUAUUUGAUCUCAAGCAGUCUGGUUCCAGAGUCUACAUUCUCCAUCACUGUGCUGACCUGACUCACCAGCGCUGUUUGGUGGUUCCACAUCCCUGCCUGGUGACUUCUAAUUAGUGUAGGGUCUACAAAGGCCAAGGUUAUGGGCUUGAUCUCUGAUAGCAGUAAUCUUUACCUUAAUCCUGCCAGAUGUCCUGCAAACAUCUCGCAGAUCUAGGCCCUUGGUUACUAAGGAAACCAGGUGGCAGAGUCGGGAUGGAUCAGAGCCAGUCUACCAGCUCCACAGGGGAAAACUGUGCUCCUGGCAAUAGGUCAGAACUAGCCUCUCCAUCUACUUAAAAAUUCCCAUUGAAAGCUAUCUCAGUAACUGAAUCUCAUUUACUUGUUUCUUCAAAUGAUAAAACUGUCCCCAACAGUUGUUUACAUGCACAGAACGUUGACUCUCACAUCCAUGAUUUGUUGAAAGGGUCAAAUUACACACUGGCCAUUUGAUCAGAAGGGUAAACACUGUGUGUUUAGAUAUUUGAUGUACUUUGACUGAGAAUGUUUCCCAGUGAAAGGUUCAGAGGUUUGCACGCAGAGCCUAGAGUCAUGGGGACGUUAGAGCUGCCAGGGGCCUUGGGGAUCAAAGUCCAGCCUCCUCAUUUCAUAGAUAAGGGAGCCCAGGUUGCCUGCCUGCAUCCACGAAAAUAGUGAAUAGAAGAACCAGGGCUAGAAUUCACAUCUGCCACUAACAAGCCAACUGAGACUGUGAAAUCGUGCUUGCUCAAAAUGUUUUGGAAAUUUAUUUUGGCUUCAUUGGCAAAACUUGUGUCUUAGUCAUCUAGUGCUGCUCUAACAGAAAUAACACGAGUGGAUGGCUUUAACAAAGAGAAAUUUAUUCUCUCACAGUCCAGUAGGCUACAAGUCCAAAUUCAG